rnacentral:lncRNA from 1 species
UGUGGUUUCUCGGUUGUCACCGGGAUGUCAUCCACAUGCCUCUUGUGCAUUAUAAUAUUGUGUUUCACAGUUGGCGGGGUCUCAUUCUCUUUCCGUCUGGCGGCUAUUUCUGCUGUGGCCCCUGCUGCUGGGCUUCCUAUGGGCGCACCUACAGUUUGUUCGUGUGUACGGUGUCCAUGCAUGAAGUGGGAGCGGUGUGCAGUUGAGUGGCGGAGGUCUCUGGGGAUUGGAGGGUUGCAUUGGUCAGAUGGUGGGUACUGGAGCGUAGGUCUAUACAAAGGGAGAGAUGCCGGUUCUGGUUUUGUGGAG